GAUGAACGCUGGCGGCGUGCCUAAUACAUGCAAGUCGAGCGAACAGACGAGGAGCUUGCUCCUCUGACGUUAGCGGCGGACGGGUGAGUAACACGUGGAUAACCUACCUAUAAGACUGGGAUAACUUCGGGAAACCGGAGCUAAUACCGGAUAAUAUAUUGAACCGCAUGGUUCAAUAGUGAAAGACGGUUUUGCUGUCACUUAUAGAUGGAUCCGCGCCGCAUUAGCUAGUUGGUAAGGUAACGGCUUACCAAGGCAACGAUGCGUAGCCGACCUGAGAGGGUGAUCGGCCACACUGGAACUGAGACACGGUCCAGACUCCUACGGGAGGCAGCAGUAGGGAAUCUUCCGCAAUGGGCGAAAGCCUGACGGAGCAACGCCGCGUGAGUGAUGAAGGUCUUCGGAUCGUAAAACUCUGUUAUCAGGGAAGAACAAAUGUGUAAGUAACUAUGCACGUCUUGACGGUACCUAAUCAGAAAGCCACGGCUAACUACGUG
rnacentral:rRNA from 1 species